GACGAACGCUGGCGGCGUGCCUAACACAUGCAAGUCGAGCGGGGGGAGUACUUCGGUACAAACCUAGCGGCGGACGGGUGAGUAACACGUGGGUAACCUGCCUCAAAGUGGGGGAUAACCUUCCGAAAGGAAGAUUAAUACCGCAUAACCCAUAGCUCCCGCAUGGAAGCAAUGGAAAGAUUUAUCGCUUUGAGAUGGACCCGCGGCGCAUUAGCUAGUUGGUGAGGUAACGGCUCACCAAGGCCACGAUGCGUAGCCGACCUGAGAGGGUGAUCGGCCACAUUGGAACUGAGACACGGUCCAGACUCCUACGGGAGGCAGCAGUGGGGAAUAUUGCACAAUGGGCGAAAGCCUGAUGCAGCAACGCCGCGUGAGUGAUGAAGGCCUUCGGGUUGUAAAGCUCUGUCUUUUGGGACGAUAAUGACGGUACCAAAGGAGGAAGCCACGGCUAACUACGUGCCAGCCGCCGCAGUAAGAC
rnacentral:rRNA from 1 species